rnacentral:rRNA from 1 species
AUUGAACGCUGGCGGCAUGCCUUACACAUGCAAGUCGAACGGCAGCACGGGUGCUUGCACCUGGUGGCGAGUGGCGAACGGGUGAGUAAUACAUCGGAACAUGUCCUGUAGUGGGGGAUAGCCCGGCGAAAGCCGGAUUAAUACCGCAUACGAUCUACGGAUGAAAGCGGGGGACCUUCGGGCCUCGCGCUAUAGGGUUGGCCGAUGGCUGAUUAGCUAGUUGGUGGGGUAAAGGCCUACCAAGGCGACGAUCAGUAGCUGGUCUGAGAGGACGACCAGCCACACUGGGACUGAGACACGGCCCAGACUCCUACGGGAGGCAGCAGUGGGGAAUUUUGGACAAUGGGCGAAAGCCUGAUCCAGCAAUGCCGCGUGUGUGAAGAAGGCCUUCGGGUUGUAAAGCACUCUUGUCCGGAAAGAAAUCCUUGGCCCUAAUACGGUCGGGGGAUGACGGUACCGGAAGAAUAAGCACCGGCUAACUACGUG